GCUGGAAGCUCCUCCCUGGGGCAUCUGUGGGGUUCUGGGCUGGUUCCUAUAAAUGCAUGCAGCAGACACGGUCAGUGCUCUGCCCACAUAGACUGGGCACCCUCAUGUCUGCAUACACACGGCUUUCUGCCUAUAGCCACACGUGUACCUAAUCAGAGGCCAGGGCAGACGAGAGGGUGGGAGUCAGUGGGCCAAUACCUCAGAUCCUCACCCUCANNNNNNNNNNNNNNNNNNNNUUCUGCACUAGCUCUGAGACAUCCGCCCUGGAAUGAGCCCCUGUUACCCACAGCAGAAAACUGUUCAUUAACACGCCUGGUAUUGGUUUCCUUUUCUUCCCUGUUUCAGCUUCCACUCCUCUACAGACACUUCCUGAGAUUGCUGCCUGGGAUGGUUUGGGUGGCACCUGACCUAUCACACUGCACUCACCCUGCGGACCAACCUAGGACCAAGGAAUCCUGUUCCAGGGCUUGGAAGGAAAGAAAAUACCUGUAAUAACUGAGGACAAGAUGGUGGGAUGAUAUCACUGACUCAAGGGACAUGAGUUUGAGCAAACUCCCAGAAAUGGUGAAGGACAGGGAAGCCUGGCGUACUGCAGUCCAUGGGGUCAUAAAGAGUCUAAAGCGACUCAGCCACUGAACAACAGUAAUAACGGAACUUUCCAGAUGUGGUCAAAACUUGCUUGCAUGCCUGGUAGG
rnacentral:lncRNA from 1 species